AGGAGCGUAGCUCAAUUGGUAGAGCACCGGUCUCCAAAACCGGGGGUUGCAGGUUCGAUCCCUGUCGCUCCUG
rnacentral:tRNA from 4 species